rnacentral:rRNA from 2 species
CGACCUGAGCUCAGGCAAGAUUACCCGCUGAACUUAAGCAUAUCAAUAAGCGGAGG